CAGUCGCCACGGUAAUACAGAGGCCUCAAGCGUUGUUCGGAUUCAUUGGGCGUAAAGGGAGCGUAGGCGGUCGGGUAAGUCGGAUGUGAAAUCUUGGGGCUCAACCUCAAAACUGCAUUCGAUACUGCUUGGCUAGAGGAAUGGAGGGGAGAUUGGAAUUCACGGUGUAGCAGUGAAAUGCGUAGAUAUCGUGAGGAAGACCAGUGGCGAAGGCGGAUCUCUGGACAUUUCCUGACGCUGACGCUCGAAGGCCAGGGGAGCAAACGGGAUUAGAUACCCCAGUAGUCCCUGUCUCUUAUAC
rnacentral:rRNA from 1 species